rfam:Nicotiana attenuata strain TT scaffold03371, whole genome shotgun sequence.
AAAUAAGAGUUGCAGCCAAGGAUGACUUGCCGACUCUUGCACAUUUACAGUAAUAUGUAUAUACUAUGGUUAUUCUUAUUGGAAGAGAAAAAGUUGGCAAGUGGUCCUUGGCUACAUCUUUCUUUCU